AUCUUGCUGACAAGUCCCAAAUAGGACGAAACGCGAUUACUGGAU
rnacentral:hammerhead_ribozyme from 1 species